ACUCAAGCUUACUUAGGGGGAUGAAAUCAACAGUCCUUUGGAAUGGAUUGAAGAGACAAUAAUUACACCCUUCUUCCUUGAAGACAGAUGCAAGUGGAGAGAAGUUACAGCUGAAUACCAGGUAUCCAGUCCCUAGCCCGGCGCACAGUACAAAUACAAGAAGUAUUUGGAGAAUGAGUAAAUGAAUGGUCUAACCAAUGAAUGACUCUUCCAACUACCUCACAAAGAAAUAUGCAAAGUAUGCUCAUUGCUCCCUACUUGCUAAGGCAAGAGACUCCAACAAAGCAUUUUAAGUAGACUUUCAAGUUGGGCUAAACCCAGAUGAUUUGCCUUACAUUACCUGGAAAACCCCAUUUCCAGAAUAUUUUGCUUCAUCAGAGUUUCCCUGGAUGCUUCCUGAAAUAGGACCACAUUCAGAGCCACGAAUUAGAAGAAAGUUCCCCGAAACCUCCAAACAAGGACCGUCAUCAGCGUCUGAUGAAUGAACCUCUGCAAAUAGCUUGGGUCUCCUUGGAAGCAUGGGCCAUUCCAACUGUGAGCUAACCAGCAUCUCUGUGCUUUUCCUCUCGAGAUAAGAAGUAUUAAAUCACCCAAAGGGCAAGUCACCCAAAGGUGAGGUCAUUUAUUUCUGCUCCCUGGUGAGCAAGUGGUCUGUUCCUUGGUGCUACACGUGAUAAGACUUAGGUAAUGGAACAUCAGAGCACGUUGCCACUGGGGCAAGGUUCACGGUCAGCAGGGGUGGCAAAUUGUAUCCUGCCAGUACAUGUCCUCCUGUUCGCCAGCUCCAUGGGAAAGUACCCUUAUGCCAGACAAGCCAGGAAUCCUCUAAAAAGGCCAACCCUAACUUAUUUUGCUUGGUGUAAUACUUAACUCUGGAGUGAGGAGUCCACACAGCAAUUAAGUUAAUGCUGACUUUUUUGUCAGUAGCUAAUACAUAUACACAGAUCCCUUAGAAGCAAUAAUUAAUCUCCAUGUACAGUCACACCGUGACCCAGAGUGUAUCAAAUCCUCUCAGUCAAUGCUGUGAGGUAGAGACUAGCACCCCCAUCUUGUUAGUGAGAAAGCAGAGGACUGAGGCCCUUUAACCUGCCCCAGAGCCCACAGUCAAUAAAUGGCAAACUCCACACCCCAGACCGUCUCAUUCAAAACUUGUGUUCCACGUGUGGUGAUGGGUUAUAAUUAGUCUCUGGGUGGUGAACAUGAUGUAAUCUACACAGAAUUCAAAAUAUAUUUUAAAAAACAAUAAAACCUUCAUCUAUUCAAAAAGAAAACCCUCUUCAAAAGGAAACAUUAAAAAGUGAAAAAGUAAGCCAACUAAUGACAGGAUGUAUUUACAUUACCUAAUAAUGCAAAGGUCUUAUUAUCAAAAUGUAUAAAAACCUCUUAUAACAUCAUAAUUAGGAGACAAAUUACCAAACAAAAAUGGGCAAAAGAUGCUCAAUAUCUCUAGUCUUUGGGAAAAUGCAAAAUAGAACACAAUGAUGUAUUACUGCACGCCCCUUGAAGAGUUAAAAUUAAAAAGAUUGACAAUACUAAGUAUUGGUGAAGAUAUGGAGCAAAUGAAAUUUUCACACAUUUCUAAUGGAAAUGCAAAUGGUAUGUCUACUUUGAAAACUAGUUUUCCAAUGUCUUAUAAUGUUAAAACACACUUAUCAUGCAAUCCUACUUCCAGGUACUUUUCCAAAUGAAAUAAAGACGUGACUGCAAAAUAAAAAGUUUUUUAAACCCACCUGUGUUCUUCCUAGUUUGUGGGCCUACUGAGCAGCGAGUCCACUUGGGCAGCAAGCAAGCAGCUCUGAACAGAGUGGCUUCUUGCCUUCAUGCAUUUGCUCAAUCAGUGGAUGCUAAAAUGACAGAAGCUCUAAUGCUCAGGGAUGUUCUGCAAAAUUUUUUACAUGGAAAGGGGUCCUAUACUUGUGUAUUAAUUAUGAAUCUUAGGACACAAACUUAGAAGCAUAAGAAAUAUAAUUUUAUUUUUCUAGAACAGAACUUAAUUUUUAUUAUAAGCCCCUAAAUUUGCUGGUUUGGUGGAAACUGAAUUUGCACCAUUUAAGGUAUUCCUUCCCUCCCCCUUCGUUCUUUUCCCCAGGGUUGUGGCCAACUUCCAAAGUGCUUUUGAGGAGCCAAAAGGUAAGGGUGGAGGCCCAUCUGGUCCUCCCCCAUCUGGUCCAGCCAUGGCACCACCACCAAGAAAGCCAUAACCCCUCUGAUCUUCAUCAGGUGGUCCCUGAGUCAUUCCAGCCUCCCCACCCCUCUCAGCUACCCCUGGGUCCUGUUCCACACCGGAAGUGGAAACUUGGCCAGGUGGCCUCAGCCCUUUCUGCCUGAACACACCACAGCCUGCUCCUCUGAGGUCCUGCCUCAGUCCCAGGCCCUUCCAUUAGGAGUAAGGGGGAAAAGCCUCUUUCUCAGGAACCGCCCACAUCUACACCAGUGACACAAUGUCCCUCUCUAUAGCAAUCAUUUCUAAUGCCCUCUUUGCUUUCUUGAAAUGGAAUUUGUAGCUAAUAUAAUCUAUCAAAUAUAAUUUCUUAUCAAAUAUAACUGGCUUUGAAAACCAACAGGGAAUACGCCCAGGAAAACUAUAAAACUUCAGGGAAAGAAAAACCGGCUCUUAAAGGGCCCACACCCAGAUUCAUUCAACCUGGAAACCAGCAUGAAAACAUCAGCUAGAAAAGUGCAUAGUCCAUUGGUAAAGAUACUAACUUCCUAAGCUUGGAGCACAUCCCAGAGAAGCAGAAGGUGGCAGGCCCACCCCCCAGGGACUGACACUCUGGUGGCAGUCAUUACUGUGACCUAGUUCAGUCAUGCUGACAGAGACACCGGCAGGCACCAUUGGAAUCCUUCCUCUAGCCUGUCAGUGCAGAGGUCUGCCCUGCCCACUAGAGAGCCUGAGGCAAUUGAAUGCAAGCAGCCCACCCCAGGAACCGCCCCACCCACCAAUUUGUGGGCCUGCUGCAGACUUGUGCCACUGGCCACCUCAAGCAGCCACACAGGAGAUCUACCCCACUUACCACUGGCUGAAAAGGAUGUACACUGACAUGCCUGGGGCCUGUGCCACCCAUCAGCACUCCCAAAGCAGCUGUGUGCCACAGGGAGCUGCGCUGGAGGUCUGUAGCAACUGUGUGACCCCAGGCAUAGCAACCAGCCACACUGGGAGCCUGACUUGCUCACCAGCAAAACUACAGUAGUUAUGCACUAUUAGACCUCACAGCCAGCUGUGCCGGGGGCUUGCCCUGCCCAAUAAAUUACCUGUAGCAGCUGCAUACGGCCAAGCCCUACAACCAACAAACCCAGGGGCCAGCCCAGCCUACCCAUGCACCUGCAGCAAUCUCAACCCCAACACAACAGAAGGGCACAUGCAGCCCACACAGGAGACACCCCUGGAGCAUUUGGCAUAGGUGACAAGAGGGGAGCACACUGCUGGGCCCCAUAAGGCAUCUCUUACAUAGGCCAUAUUUUCAAGAUGGGGAGAUGUAGCUGAUCUACCUAAUACAUAGAAAUAAGCACAGAGAAGUAGGCAAAAUGAGGACACCAAGGAAUAUGUUCCAAAUAAAGGAACAGGACAAGUCCUCAGAAGAACUAAAUGAAACAGAGAUAAGCAAUCUACCUGAUAAAGAGUACAAACUAAAAGUCAUAAGGAUGCUCACUGAUCUUGGGAGGAGAAUAGAUGAAUACAGUCAGAACUUCAAGAAAGAAUUAGAAAGUAUAAAAAAAGAAGCAAUCAGAAAUGAAGAAUACAAUAAUGGAAAUGAAAAAUUCACUAGAGGGACUCAAUAGCAGAGUAGAUGACACCAAAGAACUGAUCAGUGAUCUGGACAAAAGAGUAGAGGAAAUCACCCAGCCUGAGUAGAAAAAGGAAAACAGUGUUAAUAAGAAUGAGGACAGUCUAAGGGACCUCUGGGACAACAACUAGUGUACUAACAUCUGCAUUAUAGGUGUCCCAGAAGGAGAAGAGAGAGACAAAGGGGCAGAGACCUUAUUUGAAGAAAUAAUAGCUGAAAACUUCCCUAACCUGGGGAAGGAAACAGACAUCCAGGUAUGGGAAGCACAAAGAGCACAAAACACGAUGAAUCCAAAGAGGCCCACACCAAGACACAUUAUAAUUAAAAUGUAAAUAUCUAAAAGAGAGACUCCUAAACUUCAAGAGAAAAGCAACAAGUUACAUACAAAGGAAACCCCAUAAUGCUAUUAGCUGACUUCUCAGCAGAAGCCUCACAGGCUAGAAGGCAGUGGCAUGAUAUAUUCAAAGUGCUGAAAGGAAAAAACCUACAGCCAAGAAUUCUCUGCCCAGCAAGGUUAUCAUUCAGAAUGGAAGGAGAGAUAAAGAGCUUUCCAAACAAGCAAAAACUAGGAGUUCAUUACCACUAAACCAGCCUUACAAGAAAUGUCAAAGGGAUUUAUUUAAGUGUAAAAGAAAAGACCACAAAUAAGAAUAAGAAAAUUAUCAAAGAAAAAAUAUCACUAGUAAAGGCAAGUAUACAAGAAAAGUAGAGGAUCAACCACCUAUAAAACUAGUAUGAAGGUUAAAAGACAAAAGUACUAAAAUCAUCUGUAUGUAUGAUAAGAGUUUAAGGGAUACACAAAAAUAAAAGAAGUAAAAUACAAUAUCAGAAAACGUGAGGGAGGAGAGUAAAAGUGUAGGGCUUUUAGUAAGAGGUCAAACUUAAGAGACCAUCAACUUAAUAUAGAUUGCUAUUUACAUAGGUUAUUAUAUAUGAACCUCAUGGCAACCACAAACCAAAAACCUAUAAUAGAUACACAAAAAAGACAGAGAGAGGAACCCAAAUAUAACACUAAAGAAAGCAUCAAAUCACAAGGGAAGAGAGCAAAAAAAGAAGAAAAGAACAGAGAAGAACUACAAAAACAUCCAGAAAAAAAGUAACAAAAUGACAAUAAGUACACACUUAUCAAUAGUUACUUUAAAUGUAAAUGGACUAAACACUCCAAUCAAAAGACAUAGGGUGGCUGAAUGAAUUUAAAAAAGACCCAUAUGUAUGCUGCAUACAAGACCUAAAGACACUCACAAACUGAAAGUGAAGGGAGGGGGAAGAUAUUCCAUGCAAAUGGGAAGAAAAAAAAAGCUGGGGUAUCAAUACUUCUAGCAGAUAAAUUAGACUUUAAAACAAAAACUAUAACAAGAGACAAAGAAGGGCACUACAUAAUGAUAAAAGGAAGGAUCCAACCAAAGGAUAUAACACAUUUAAGUAUCUAUACUCCCAACACAGGAGCACCUAAAUAUGUAAAGCAAAUAUUGACAGACAUAAAAGGAGAAAUAGACAGUAACACAAUAAUAGUGGGGGACUUUAACACUCCAGUUAUAUCAAUAGAUAGGUCAUCCAGACAGAAGACCAAUAAAGAAACAUUUACCUUAAAUGACACAUUAGACCAGGUGGAUUCAAUAGAUAUAUACAACAUUCCAUCCAAAAACCACAGAAUACACAUUCUUCUCAAGUGCAAAUGGAACAUUCUCCAGGAUUGAUCACAUAUUAGGCCACAAGAGAAGUUUCAAUAAAUUAAGAAGACUAAAAUAAUAUCAAGCAUCUUUUCUGACCAUAACAUUAUGAAACUAGAGAUCAACUACAAGAAGAAAGCUGCAAAAGCCACAGAUAUGUGGAGAUUAAAUAAAAUGCUACUGAACAACUAUUGGGUCAAUGAAUAAAUCAAAGGAGAAGUCCUAAAAUACCUGGAGACAAAUGAAAAUGGAAAUAUGAAAUACCCAAAUCUAUGUGAUGCAGCAAAACUAUACUAAGAGAGAAGUUUAUAGCAAUACAGGCCUUCCUCAACAAACAAGAAAAAUCUCAAAUAAGCAACCUAACAAUACUCCUAAAGGAACUAGAAAAAGAAGAAUAAAUAAAGCCCAAAAUCAGUAGUAGAAAGGAAAUAAUAAAAAUCAGAGCAGAAAUAAAUGAAAUAGAGACUAAAAAGACAAAAGAAAAGAUCAAUGAAACUAAGUGCUGGUUCUUUGAAAAGAUAAACAAAAUUGACAAAUAAUUAGCUAGAUUUACAAAGAAAAAAAGAAAAGAUUUGGGUUGGCCCAUGGCCUAGUGGUUAAGUUUGGUGUGCUCCACUAUGGUGGCCCAGGUUUGGUUCCUGGACACAGACCUACAUCACUUGUCAAGCCAUGCUGUGGUGGCAACCCACAUACAAAAUACAGGAAGACUGGCACAGAUGUUAGCUCAGGGUGAAUCUUCCUCAAGCAAAAAGGAGAUUGGCAACAUAUGUUAGCUCAGGGCCAACUUCCUCACAUAAAAAAAGGAAAGAAAGAAAGAAAAGACUCAAAUAAAUAUAAUCAGAAAUGAAAGAGGAGAAAUUACAAAUAAUACCACAGAAAUACAAAGGAUUAUAAGAGAAUACUACAAAAAGUUAUAUACCAAUAACUUGAAUAAUUUAGAAGAAACUGAUACAUUCUAAGAAUUAUACAAACUUCCAAAACUGAGUCAAAAGGACAUAGAGAAUAUGAAUAGACUAAUCACUAGUAAGGAGAUCAAAACAAUAAUCAAAAUUCUCCCCAAAACAAAAGUCCAGGACCAGAUGGCUUCCCCAUUGAAUUCUACCAAUCAUUCAAAGAAGAUUUAAUACCUAUCCUUCUCAAACUCUUCCAAAACAAUUGAAGAGGAGGGGAUGCUUCCUAACUCAUUCUAUGAGGCCAACAUUACCUUGAUACCAAAACCAGACAAGGACAACACAAAAAAGAAAAUUACAGGCCAAUAUCACUAAUGAACAUAAGUCCUCAGCAAAAAAUCCUUAACAAAAUGCUAGCAAACUGAAUACAACAAUAGAUUAAAAGGAUCACACACCAUGAUCAAGUGGGAUUUAUUCUGGGGAUGCAAGGAUGGUUCAACAUCCACAAAUCAAUCAAUGUCAUGCACUACAUUAAUAAAAUUAAGAAUAAAAAUCACAUGAUCAUCUCAAUAGAUGCAGAGAAAGCAUUUGACAAGAUAAGGCAUCCAUUUAUUAUAAAAACCCUGAAUAAAAUGGGUAUAGAAGGAAAGUACCUCAACAUAAUAAAGACCAUAUAUGGCAAACCUGCAGCUAAAAUCAUACUCAAUGGUGAAAAAUUGAAAACUAUCCCUCUAAGAACAGGAACAAGAUAAGGAUGCCCUUUUUCACCACUUUUAUUUCACACAGUAUCAGAAGUCCUAGCCAGAGCAAUUAGGCAAGAAAAAGAAAUAAAAGGGAUUCAAAUCGGAAAGAUAGAAGUAAAAGUGUCACUAUUUGCAGAUAACAUGAUUUUAUAUAUAGAAAACCCUAAAGAAUUCACCAAAAACUAUUAGAAAUAAUAAACAAAUACAGUAAAGUUGCAGGGUACAAAAUCAACAUCCAAAAAUCAGUUGUGUAUCUAUACACUGACAACAAACUAGCAGAAAGAGAAAUCAGGAAUACUGUCCCAUUUACAAUCACAACAAAAAGAAUAAAAUACCUAGGAAUAAACUUAACCAAAGAGAUGAAAGACUUGUACACUGAAAAUUAUAAAACACUGUUGAAAGAAAUUGAAG
ensembl:lncRNA